UUCCCAUAAUAAAGAGGAGAUCUCGUCGCCUGGCAGAUUGCGGAGGAAGGAGGAAGGUUGCUGAGGAUGAGUCUUCAUCACAUCACAUAUCAUUACGUGUCAUAACAGGGGAUAUCACCGAUAUAGAACAGAAUCCGGGUUAAUAUUACGGUCCAAUCUGCCAUUAUCAGUCUUGUGUCUCCUUGUUUUCUCGGAUAAGGAGUGAUCCACAGUCCCCUAAGCACUCAGGAUGGGGAACCGGGGAAUGGAGGAUCUGAUCCCGCUAGUGAACCGGAUGCAGGAUGCGUUUUCAGCCAUCGGACAGAAUGCGAACUUGGACCUGCCUCAGAUCGCAGUGGUGGGCGGCCAAAGCGCUGGGAAGAGCUCCGUGCUGGAGAACUUCGUCGGAAAGGACUUCCUUCCCCGAGGUUCUGGCAUCGUCACACGUCGCCCUUUGGUCCUGCAACUCAUCAACUCCCCCACUGAGUUUGCAGAGUUUUUGCACUGUAAGGGGAAGAAGUUUACAGACUUCGAUGAAGUCCGGCAGGAGAUCGAGGCGGAGACGGAUCGUGCCACCGGGCAGAAUAAAGGCAUUUCUCCAGUCCCUAUUAACCUGCGUGUUUACUCUCCUAAUGUACUGAACCUGACACUGGUGGAUUUGCCUGGAAUGACGAAAGUGCCAGUCGGUGACCAGCCAGCUGACAUCGAGCACCAAAUCAAGGAAAUGCUUAUGCAGUUUGUUACGAAGGAGAACUGCCUGCUGCUGGCUGUAUCUCCUGCGAACUCCGACCUCGCCAACUCUGAUGCCCUGAAGGUUGCCAAAGAAGUGGAUCCGCAAGGUCUGCGUACCAUCGGUGUGAUCACCAAACUGGAUCUGAUGGAUGAAGGAACAGAUGCUCGAGACAUUCUAGAAAACAAGCUGUUACCUCUGCGCCGAGGCUACAUCGGUGUGGUGAACCGCAGUCAGAAAGACAUUGAUGGGAAGAAGGACAUCACUGCUGCUAUGGCUGCUGAGAGGAAGUUCUUCCUGUCGCAUCCUGCCUACAGACACCUAGCAGACCGCAUGGGGACUCCGUACCUUCAGAAAGUGCUCAACCAGCAACUAACCAAUCAUAUCCGAGACACGUUGCCCGGACUGCGCACUAAACUCCAGAGCCAGCUGCUGUCCAUCGAGAAAGAGGUGGACGAGUAUAAGAACUUCCGCCCGGACGACCCGUCUCGCAAGACCAAGGCCUUGUUGCAGAUGGUGCAGCAGUUCUCUGUGGAUUUUGAGAAGCGUAUCGAGGGUUCUGGUGAUCAGAUCGAGACUUAUGAGCUCUCCGGCGGAGCGAGGAUCAACCGCAUCUUCCACGAACGUUUUCCUUUCGAACUGGUCAAGAUGGAGUUUGAUGAAAAGGAGCUGCGUAAAGAGAUCAGCUACGCUAUCAAGAACAUUCAUGGCAUCAGAACUGGGCUCUUCACCCCGGACAUGGCCUUUGAGACCAUUGUGAAAAGGCAGAUCGCGAAGAUUAAAGAGCCUUGCCAGAAAUGCGUGGACAUGGUCAUUUCUGAGCUAGUCAAUACCGUUAGGCAGUGUACAAAGAAGCUGGCUCAGUACCCCAUGCUGCGAGAGGAAAUGGAAAGAAUCGUCACUCAACACAUCCGUGAUCGUGAGAGUCGUACUAAGGAUCAGGUGAUGCUGCUUAUUGACAUCGAGCUGGCUUACAUGAACACCAACCAUGAAGAUUUCAUCGGAUUUGCCAAUGCGCAGCAGCGAAGCAGCCAAAUGAGCAAGAAGAAGGCGGCUGGAAACCAGGGGCAGGAUGAGAUCAUGGUCAUCAGGAAGGGCUGGCUGACAAUCAACAACAUCAGCAUCAUGAAAGGUGGCGCUAAAGAGUACUGGUUCGUGCUAACAGCCGAGUCACUCUCCUGGUACAAGGAUGACGAGGAGAAAGAGAAAAAGUACAUGCUGCAGGUGGACAACCUGAAGCUGAGAGACGUGGAGAAGAGCUUUAUGUCCAGCAAGCACAUCUUCGCCCUGUUCAACACUGAGCAGAGGAACGUGUAUAAAGACUAUCGUCAGCUAGAGUUGGCCUGUGAGAGUCAAGAGGAUGUGGAUGGCUGGAAGGCCUCGUUCCUCAGAGCUGGUGUUUAUCCAGAGCGUGUGGUGGAAAAGGACAAGAGCGAUGCGAGCGAGGAGAACGGUUCGGACAACUUCAUGCACUCCAUGGACCCCCAGCUUGAGAGGCAGGUGGAGACCAUCCGCAACCUGGUGGACUCCUACAUGGCCAUCGUCAACAAGACCGUACGCGAUCUCAUGCCCAAGACCAUCAUGCACCUCAUGAUCAUUAAUACAAAGGAGUUCAUUAAUGCCGAGUUGCUGGCUCAGCUUUAUUCCUGUGGCGAUCAGAACACUUUGAUGGAGGAGUCAGCCGAGCAGGCUCAGCAUCGGGAUGAAAUGCUGCGCAUGUAUCACGCCCUCAAAGAAGCCCUCAGCAUUAUUGGAGACAUCAGCACCACCACAGUGUCUACGUCUCUGCCUCCACCCGUCGAUGACUCAUGGUUACAGGUGCAGCGCAUUGGCUCUGGAGGAAGGUCUCCAGCUACCAGUCCCACCCCUCAGAGACGAGCUCCUCCUCCAGGACCCCCAGGACGCCCUGGUUCUCGUGGCUCCGCACCAGGCCCUCCUGCUGCUGGUGGGCCUCCUUUGCCGUCUCGCCCCGGGGCAUCUCCAGACCCGUUCGGAGCCCAGCCCCCUCAGGUGCCCUCCCGGCCUAACCGGGCCCCACCUAGCGUCCCCAGCCGAGGAGUGUGAGACAUCUCUGAGCGCAGCAGUGUGGAAUUACAAUCAGUGACCAGUGAGCGGACCAGCGCUUCGGCCGGCGACCCCCGCCCUCACCCACCCGAACCAUGUGAUCCACAGACUCCUCCCUCGAGACGAUUAGCUCCUCCCACCAGACCUUAAGGGAUAGAAAUCCAGGCUGCCCAGAUCCCCUUCAUCUCCUUCGCCUUCAGAUUCACUUCAGCAUUAACACACACACACACACACACACACACACACACACACACACACACACACACAACCUACACAGAGUAACCUACACCCAUUUUAUGUCAUUAACAUUCCUCUCUAUAUUUCCUCCUCCUUCAUGACUUUCCAACAAUCCCUGACUUCCGGGUUGUGAUUUUUUUCCUUUUUGGUGAAUGAAAGAUCUUUUCCGAAGCAGAUGCAUUAUCACUCCAAGGUGAUGACUGGAGUAAUGAGUAUAACUGCAUCUAUUACAUGUUUGAGCUGUUACUUUACUUGUCUUUUUUUCCCUCUGUUUCUCGAGCAGUGCUCCCUGAAGUCACAGGCAGGAAGUUGACACCUCGCUAAACUGAAUGAAAAGAAACUUUACAAUGGUUCUGAUUUGAGGACCAGAUUUUAAUCAGCCACAUUUUACACAUUCUUGGUUGGCAUUCUAAUAAGAAUCCGAGACUCCUGCCUUCCAGCCUUGCUGACUUUAGGGACGCCAUGUUACUAACUUCUGCUCUAAUAAUUCUUUCAAUAUUUACUCUUCUUUUUUCUCUUUUUUCUCCUUGCACUGCUCAGCCGGCCGAGCAGGGGCAGCCCCGAGAGCCCCCUUCCUUCAUCUGACUCCUAACUACACCAUCCUUUUUUUCAUCUGCUCUUUUUAUCCUCUAAUCCUACUUCUUUUCCUUCAUUUUCUUUUCUCCUUUUUUUCCUUCCUCUCUCCCUCAACAUGCUCUAUCAUUUCUCUUACUUCUCUUUCUUUAAUCAGUUACACAAUUGUCUGUAUAUUCAUUUACUUUGUACUUCUCUUUUAUUUUGUCUUAAUUUUGGUUAUUCUCUUCUUCCUUCCUGACCUUUCUUCCCCCUUUUAUUCUUUUUUUUAUCUUCUCUGUUUCUUCUUCUUCCUACUCUUUCUCUCCAUUCUUUCUGUUCUUCAUGGUCUCUUUCUUCUUCCUCCCAUGCCUUUUAAAGUACAUUAUUUUUCUCUCUCUAUCCAUCCUGUUUCCCUUUUUCUCUCAUUUUAUUGCUCUCCUUCCCUCUCUCUUUUUCCGUUUUCUUUCUUUCCACCCUUCUCUUUCGUUUCCCUUUCUCUUGUCUCCACUUGUCCUCUCCUUUCUCUCCCAUCCUUUCCCCUCUGCUUUCUCUUUCCCCUUCCCCCUCUUCUUCCUCUUCCUCUCAAAAUCUUCCCAUGUUCAUCAUCAAGCAAUCCUUGAAUCAAACCCCACCAGCACAACCCAACUCUCUCUCCCUCUCACACACACACACACACCACAGUGAAGAGAGGAGGAGAGAAAAACAGAUGGAAACCCCUUCAGGUGUAACUCCUCUUCCUCCCGCUCGGUUACACCACCUCAUUAAAGGACAGAUGCUCUUCUACAGUACGUUCCAAAGUGGAGGAGCAGCUACACCACCAGUGUACUGUGAGGCGUGUAGUGUUUGUGUUGUCGUUGGCGUCUCUUUGCUUUCCGCUGGAUUUUCUUCGUCUUCUUAAAGCCACUGGACUGACGUGACGGCCAUGAGCCCCGUCUCCAAGUUUAACCUCUUGUGUAACGCACAUGAACAUUGUAAGUUCCUUGAAUUUCUUAAUUUCACAUCACGUCAGUAGCACAAGUUCUCAGUGUGUGUUUACACUUGUGACAUUUCACUUCAUUUAUCCAAGUAGCGAGUGCAGAAAAAUUAGUGAGGCGGGAUCUAUAUAGAAAGUGCAAUAUUUCUAAGAUCGGUUAUCAUUCACGCAACUUAACACCACGUAGACCUGAAAACAAACAAGGUAAACAUAUAUACAUGAAAUCUGACGUCCUUCACACGCUUCUCGUUAUUAGCAUCUCUGCUGGCGAUUUACUUAAACGGUUAUGCAAACGUAUCAUCGUGGUUGUAAUUCGUGUGUUCGGUUUAUUAUCAGAUAUUUGGUCAAAAUCAGGUUUUAAAGGAAUAAUUGAAAGAAAAAUCACGUGUAAAAUGUACAAUAUCGCUCCAAUCACUUCUGAAAUGACGAUCUGAAACGACGUCUUUGGCGUCAGACGUUUGCUUUUUUUUAGUUCGGCUAAAUAAUAUAUUACGAGACUACACUUUUUAAAAGAAAUUCACCGUGUAUGAAAUAUGCAGACAUUUCUAUAUAUUCUUAAACUGGUUUCAGAAAUAUGCCAUGAGAUUAAUAUAGACACGUAUUAUGUAUAUCAUGACAAACUUUGGUUAUCCAACGAUUUUUAUUCUUACGCUCUCGUGCUGUUUAAACGUCAAAAAAAUCAAAUUAAAUAAAAUUAAAGGCUUCAGUGCAGCUGCAGCAUGAAAUACGUGCAACUCUUAUGCUAUUUAGACAUACUGUAGAAUAUAGCAUGAACUCCACAUAGCUAGAAAUAGAAGAACAACAACAAAAAAAAAAGACAAAUUGAUGAAUAUACUAGUGUAUUAGACUGCAGUGUAGAGAUCUGUUUACCGAGUGUAGUGUGGAAAAAAAACGUUGUUUUUUUUUCUUUUCUGAAAUCUGAUUGGCUGAGAGACUGUCAAGCAAGAUUUGAACCGAUUACGCCCUAAUCUUAGUUUAUGUUGAAGCUCACUAUUAACAGACUACAUUAUUUAUUUAUUUUUUAUUGUGAAGGUUACUUAGAAUCGGUUUCAUAACUUAUCGAAUAUUUUUUGUGUCGUUUUUAUAAAAGCAAUAAGCCACUCGUGUUCUGACUGACUAACGCUGUUACUCCAGAUUAAAAAAAGAGACAAAAACAAAAAACAAACCAAAAAAACAAAAACAAAAACAACUCAUGGCGCAUUGAUUUAUAAAGGGUUUUUGUUUUGAAUUAUAGGGAUACCAAUAAAAGUUGAACCAAUUAAACUGUUCUCAGCAUUGAGUACAACCCCUUUAGGAAGAUAACUGUAUGAGGAAUACUAUAAAAAAAUAAAAGAACGUCAAAACUGGACCCGCCGACGAUAUACUUUGGUUCUGAACUUGGGGGAAACUUUAAAUGAUAAAAAUUUGCUUUGAAGU